GCUGGCGGCAGGCCUCAAACAUGCAAGUCUAGGGGACGUAGCAAUACGUCACCGGCGGACGGGUGCGUAACACGUGGGAAUGUACUGAGUGGUUCGGAACAACUGCGGGAAACUGCAGCUAAUACCGAAUGAUCCCGAAAGGGGAAAGAUUUAUCGCCAUUCAAUCAGCCCGCGUUCGAUUAGCUAGUUGGUGAGGUAACGGCUCACCAAGGCUCCGAUCGAUAGCUGUUCUGAGAGGAAGAUCAGCCACACUGGGACUGAGACACGGCCCAGACUCCUACGGGAGGCAGCAGUUGGGAAUCUUGGACAAUGGGGGAAACCCUGAUCCAGCCAUGCCGCGUGAGUGAUGAAGGCCUUCGGGUUGUAAAGCUCUUUUACCCGGGAAGAUAAUGACUGUACCGGGAGAAUAAGCUCCGGCUAACUUCGUGCCAGCAGCCGCGGUAAUACGAAGGGGGCUAGCGUUGUUCGGAAUUACUGGGCGUAAAGCGUGCGC
rnacentral:rRNA from 1 species